ACCGCGCGCACAGUAUUGACAAAAAAAGAGUUGUGAAACUUUCUAUCUCGUAAGGAGUUAUAACGUGAAAUAAUGACACAGACUGGCUACACCAUCUAAUCUGCAGCAGAGACUGUUGUAUCAGAAGGACAGCGCGUUUGUUUGAGGCACUUUUCACUUCAACUGUGCCUGACAGGAGAAUUGGCUUUUCUGAGCCUUUCCAACCGUUGAGUUACCAUGGCAACCGCGUACACAUCAGCUGCUGGAGAGGAGAGGACUCGUCUUACAUUUUCUCUGUUUCUCGACAGUUAUACCAAAAGAAAAGGCCAACAACUGCGACAGAUUGUGAUUUCAGGAGUGUCUUAAAAAGCCUCUAAACCAGAGAAGUUCCAAGAAAAUGUCUAACGGGAGCUGCUGACAGAGAUAGAAAACACAGUUUGUUUAUUUCUAAUAAGGAGCUGGAGGCCGUGAAGAAACAGAUCCAUGAUAUUGUGGAGAAGCAGGCCCAGCUGAGCGUGUGGAGAGCUGUGCUGGAAAUAUUCAGGGGUUGAUGCUCAUAAGUCCAGGUUAAGUAUACAG